rnacentral:lncRNA from 1 species
UAUUGAUAUUCGAAAUAUAUAAGACUAUUAACAUUAAAUGGGAUUCUGAAUGCAGUGUGUGUCAUAAUGAUUAUUUUAAUAUGAUGUUCUUCCAGAUCGUUUUUUCUUGCUGAGGUGGUUGGUGGGAGGCUGAGUCCCAGCAGAAUGGUGGUGGUCCGGUUUUUGGAAUCUGAGGCUACCCUUCAGGGGAUCAUUGGUAAAGUUCAAGAUGCCAUUGGAUGUCAUGACCCAAUGGUAUUGACUGAUGUGCAGGGGAAUGCAAUUUUGGAGUCAGAAGGCACAACUGGGUCCCAGUACUGGAAACAAAAUGCAAGAAAGAUUCUUGCUAUACAAGAACAGGCCUUCCAGGAGGUGCAGGGCUCUAAAAGGAGGAGAAUGAGCCGAAAAGAUGAAGAUGCUGCCGGAAUUGGAGAGGUCACUGAGAAGAUAGAAGAGCUUGUACUGGCAUCACAGACCUUACCAGAUAUCACUGCAGCAAUCAGAGAGCUCACCAAUCUAGCUGCCACUCAAAGAGUGAUCCUGACUCCUUCACAGCUACAGACCAUCAAGCAAGGAUUCUGCUGUGUUAUUUGUAUGAGUGAGUACACAAUAGCUAGUCAUUGUCCCACAUGUACACUUAUUUUGAAUCCAUUUUGAUCCAGAAUUGUAAUUUUUCCACGUACGCAUUACAUUUUCGAACCAUGGUCACCUAUGUCUCAUCCACUACAAUUAAUUACAUGUACAAAUGCAGACCUUUGUGUUCCAACCCAUGGUGUAACGAUACAUUAACAAAAAGUGUGUGUCUGAAAUCGCUCCCUAUCCACUAUAUAGUGCACUAUUUAGCAGAGAUGGGACCAAGUCACACAUGUGCAAGUCUCAAGUAAGUCUCAAGUCUUAACCUUCAAGUCUCAAGUAAGUCCCAAGUAUUUUUUUCUUGGGCAAGUCAAGUCAAGUCAAGUCACAAGCUAUGUCAAGUCAAGUCCAAGUCAAGUCACCUUAAUAUUGUUAUUUUACCUGCAGAAUCUGAUCUUAAUAAAGUUAAAAGACAAGAUAUAAGUAACUGUCAGUAAAUUAAAAUAAUUUGGAUUUGCAUUGUAAAUACUCAUGUUCAGUAAAAUACAUCAUGGAAUCAAACAAAAUUGUAACUUCCUAAAAUUUAUUUAUUUUUCACUUCUGCCAACAGUGUUUGAAAUGUUUUACAUUUUCAACAUUGAGUCCAUAAAACUAAACAUCCAACAGACUCCUCUCUGAACAUCUCUCUCUCUCUCUCUCUCUCUCUCUCAAACACAGUUUACAUAUAACAUUAAACUGUUACUUUUCUUCUCUCUCUUUCUCUCUCUCAGAGUAUAGAAUAUAAAUAUGACGUAUUUUCAGUUGUUUCAUACUUUUUUUGUUAUGUACAGUACAGACCAAAAGUUUGGACACACCUUCUCAUUCAAAGAGUUUUCUUUAUUUUCAUGACUAUGCAAAUUGUAGAUUCACACUGAAGGCAUCAAAACUAUGAAUUAACACAUGUGGAAUUAUAAAUGGAAUUAUAUACAUAACAAAAAAGUGUGAAACAACCAAAAAUAUGUCAUGUUCUAGGUUCUUCAAAGUAGCCACCUUUUGCUUUGAUUACUGCUUUGCACACUCUUGACAUUCUCUUGAUGAGCUUCAAGAGGUAGUCACCUGAAAUGGUCUUCCAACAGUCUUGAAGGAGUUCCCCUUAGAGAUGCUUAGGCACUUGUUGGCCCUUUUGCCUUCUGUCUGCGGUCCAGCUCACCCCUAAACCAUCUCGAUUGGGUUCAGGUCCGGUGACUGUGGAGGCCAGGUCACUCUCCUUCUUGGUCAAAUAGCCCUUGAUGCCUUCAGUGUGACUCUACAAUUUUCAUAGUCAUGAAAAUAAAGAAAACUCUUUGAAUGAGAAGGUGUGUCCAAACUUUUGGUCUGUACUGUACAUAACAAAAAAGUAUGAAACAACUUAAAAUA